UCCCAUUACUGAUGGGGCCCAGUAGUUGAGAUCUGAGUGGUGGCAGGUGCUAUACAAACAGAAGGAUCUUGAGGAAGCACAAAGGGUUAAGGCGUAUGAAAACAGGAAACACGUCUGCCUUUUAUUAGGCGAGCUGUUCUCAGCUGCAGAAGUGGGAGGAAAUUGCAGUUUUGGAAGAAAACCCAUCCAUACAUGCAAACUCCCGACAGAGAUGUGGCCCAGGACUACAGACCAGUAAAAGACACCACUAAGUAUGUCGCCGUGCACCCUAGAACACCUUAAAAAACACUAUGGGGAAUAUAUCAUUCCAAUUUAUCCAAAAUCAACAGCAUUUAGUGCAGUGUUAUGAAAAUCUGGCAGUUUGUGUAAAUGCAUAGCAUCCACUCAUGUUUGAUGUAGGAAAACUGCAAUAUCACUUAAUCCUGGUAUGAAAAGGUCAAAUCUGUUUUGCUCUUUUUUUUUAACGACGGAUUCUGGAAAGUACCUAUCUCACUGGAGCCUGCGUACCUUUACAAAAGCACCCGAAUGGAGGCGCCGUGUAGUUCCCCCGUUCCGAAGUCCUUGUGACCGGCGCGGACUUGCCGCGUGGAACCGAGAGCUCCGCUCGCACCUCGCCGGGCGUGCGGUUCUGCUGAAACUCUGCAACAGGGAAGCAGCGCGUUUCACCGGGUCCUCGGUGUGGCUGAGCGAGAGCGGGUAAAGGGUGCUCUUGUGAACACGGAUGUGUCUCAUCUUUUCAGUAUGAUUGCAUAUCGUAUAUUUGUCAAGAGAUACCUUUCUCUAACAUCCAGGCAACACAGCGAAUGCUUGGAGGAUUUUGGUGUAAUGACCACAAAUCUAGAUUUGUAUGAAUUGUUAUCCUGCCUGGUUGCGGCACGGCCGUGCGGUGCUUGGUAUUGCUUCCUUGCGGUACUACUUGUGCUUCUGGGGUGCAGGACCAUCUUCAAUAUCUGCUUUUUUCUUUAGUUGAAACACAUUCUGAAUAUUUGUCAGUGGAAGUCCACAGUGAUUUACACUUAUUGCUAUAUUAGACUUAUAUAUGAUCGGAAUAUGUGAUUAUUUCUGACCGCAAAAUAUACGUCUGACAAAUACUGUGUACAUUCAUCUUACAACAUACAUUACAAAUACAAUUUUUACCAUUGUUUUUAGAUUAUUUGGGGUGUGACACGAUUUCACAAUAAAAGGGACAGUUUAUCUUGUUUUAGUUUUUCCACAAAUACCAAAUAUAGUCUGGCUAACUUCCCCAAACCACUAUUACUAAUUACAUUCCCCUCCUUUCUUACUGCCCUGUCACUGAGAGAGCUGUGUCUUUUCACUUCAGGUGUCUUAAAAUCCACUUUUCCUCAGAAAUGAGCUGCCACAAAUGCAGAGAGAGUGUGGACUUUCAGAGCUGAAAGUUUGGAGGCCGCCUGUGCACACCUUUGUUACCUGAUACACCAGAAGAUUUCACUAGGUGUGCGUGUUUCAGUUGGCCUGAAAUUAAGGUGUCAGACGAGAUGUGUCUUCAGUUGUUGCUUGCGCUCUGAGUGACAGACCUCUGUGAUAGCAUGACUCAUCACACGGGGCUUUCCCUGGUGAAUAUCUCACAAUCCAAACAUGGACUCUGUUAGCUUCAGUGACAUACAUUCAGCUAGGACAGCUUCAGACUUCAAAAAGCUUUCUGUCCUCUGCAGUGGCUGCAGUCACCAACUGCUUCUUUUCCUCUGUUUUUUUAUCAGGUAUUGGUUUUUUUUUUUUACUUCCUUCAGCAUCUUAAGAUCAGUUAACUUCAGGCUGUGACUGAGGUUGAGGAGAUAGACUGCAGAGUAAGCUUAUCAGAGCUACCUGUUCUGUGUGUUUUUUUUUCUUUACUUUUAAAUAACAACUUGCUCUGCGAAGGACAAACCAAAAGACUGUUUUUUAAGAAUGUGGUCACACGUUGAAGGCAGAGGCUCAUUUUUGAAGGGUACCAAACUAAAAUGGCCGUUAUAUUAUGGCUUAUGUGGCACAGUGACACUGGUUAGCAUUGCUGUCUCUCUGCACUGAGGCCCUGGGUUAAAUUCCUGGGGUUCUAUG